rnacentral:rRNA from 1 species
GACGAACGCUGGCGGCGUGCCUAAUACAUGCAAGUCGAACGCAUUUUCUUUCACCGUAGCUUGCUACACCGAAAGAAAAUGAGUGGCGAACGGGUGAGUAACACGUGUGCAACCUGCCCAUCAGCGGGGGAUAACACUUGGAAACAGGUGCUAAUACCGCAUAAUUCCAUUUACCGCAUGGUAGAUGGAUGAAAGGCGCUUUUGCGUCACUGAUGGAUGGACCCGCGGUGCAUUAGCUAGUUGGUGGGGUAACGGCCUACCAAGGCUGCGAUGCAUAGCCGGCCUGAGAGGGUGAUCGGCCACACUGGGACUGAGACACGGCCCAGACUCCUACGGGAGGCAGCAGGAGGGAAUCUUCGGAAAUGGACACAAGUCUGACCGAGCAACGCCGCGGGAGUGAAGAAGGUUUUCGGAUCGUAAAACUCUGUUGUUAGAGAAGAACAAGGAUGAGAGUGGAAAGUUCAUCCCUUGACGGUAUCUAACCAGAAAGCCACGGCUAACUACGUG